GAUUGCUGAAUGUAAGAUGUGUCAAGAUGAAGAAUAGGACUAAAAUUUGGAAACUUUUUCGUCUUGUGCAAGGUUUUCAAAGUCUUACUAUUAUGGUCUCAUUUUUGUUUUAUGUAUAAUAUGCUAUCAAUUGGUAUUUUUGUUUUUGUUUCGGAAUUAAAGCCAAUAUGCUUUUGCUCUUUCACAACAACAACAACCCAGUAUAGUUCCACUUAGUGGGGUCUGAGGAGGGUAGUGUGUAUACAGACCUUACCCCUAUCCUGGGGUAGAGAGGCUGUUUCCAAAUAAACCCCCGACAUCCUUCCCUCCGAGAACGUCCUACCUUGCUCUUGUGGAGACUCGAACUCACAACCUCUUGGUUGGAAGUGGGGUUGCUUACCAUCAUAGCAACCCCUCUUGUCUGCUUUUGCUCUUUUUCACAGACUUUAGAAAUUUGUCUUCAGUAAAAAUUAAAUCUGGAGUAACAUUCUUACUUGGCUUAACAGCCAAAGCUUUUUGGUCUUGGUUUGACUCUCUGCACAAGAUAUAGUAACUUUUUGUGUUAGGAGCAACGUAAAUUUUUUGUAGUCUUUUGCAUCUUCUUGAUGGCAUAAUCUUACAUAUUACUUCAUUAAAAAAAGACGAAAUCUUGAGUACUUGUGAUAGCCAUAUAGGUCUGGUCUAUUUUUGGUCCCACUACUCAAGAAUUGUUUUGUUUUAUUGAUGUGCAUAGGGAUCUUUACUUCUAUAAUGACAUGUUAACUCCAAUAAGAGAUCAGAAGAAGUGGUCGUCUUAUGAUGAGCUUGGAUGAAUAUGAAUGAGUCACUAUUGGUUACAUAUAUUUGGGAAUCCAGGUAAUUGAUCAACAAAGUUGCUGAACUUCUUAUUCUUAAAGACAAGGAUGUUAUUUAUAUUUCAUUCUUUUACCUCUUUUUAUGUAAGUUAAAGUGGUAAGAUCAUUACAUGAUUUGCUAUUUUAGUUCUAUCAUUGUGUGUUUCCUUUGUUGAGCUGCCUGUUACAUAUGAUAUUUAUAAUAUGGAGUAUUCAAAUUUUGACUUCAAAG
rnacentral:lncRNA from 1 species